GACGUAGGGCGCGAGCGUUGUCCGGAUUUAUUGGGCGUAAAGAGCGUGUAGGCGGCUUUGCAAGUCCGUUGUGAAAACUCGAGGCUCAACCUCGAGACGCCGGUGGAAACUGCAAAGCUAGAGUCCGGAAGAGGAGAGUGGAAUUCCUGGUGUAGCGGUGAAAUGCGCAGAGAUCAGGAAGAACAUCGGUGGCGAAGGCGCUCUGCUGGACCAUAACUGACACUCAGGGACGAAAGCUAGGGGAGCGAAUGGG
rnacentral:rRNA from 1 species